UUGCCUCAGCCUCCUGGAGUACCUUGCUUUCUGCUCCUUAUGCCCCAGAGCAUGCUGUGCUUGUGGAGACAGGGGCUCCUCUGUCCCUGGAGAUGGGUCCUGCUGCUCUGGCUCCUGUGUCCCAUCGCCUCACCAUCCUCCGUCACCCUAGAAUACUCACUUGGUUGUUAUACAGCUCUGGGUGUGGCUGGAUUGCAGACACAGUUUCGUUGCAUUCAGUUGGAUUCCUUUCUGCAACUUUAUCGAGCGCACAGCGGACAUCCAAGAAUACUGUGCUGUGAGUUUGACACUGUUGAGAAAAGUUCAAAGUUGAAUGUAGCAUGACUACUUCAGUACAUACUGAAUACAAGCACACUGUAAAACAAAAGGCAAUAGAUUGGAUAAGGAAGGAAACUUUGGCAAACAAGUAGAAGUCCUGACUCGCUGGCUAGACCUUGGGCAACUGUUUCCUGCCCCCACCCUCAUUUCCAUUUUAGAGGAAUGAAGUGCGUGCUGGUCCUCUUGACAGCCUUCAAACAUGGACUAGACUGAUUCAGUGAGAAAGUGUGUCUCAAUGGCUACAGUAAUUCAUCAAGCAAGCCUUCACCUGUAAAGGCAGCGUAUGUGUGAUUACCAGAUGUUGGGGACAACCAACUUGGGAUGGCAUUUGCCAGCAUCAUGGCUCAUUUGUAGGCUUGCCAAAGAUACCAGGCUUGAUAUUCCUGGAAAAAAAUAAUGUUCUGCAAAGGACUUCAGGAAGACUUUUUUUUUUAAGCCUAAAACUGUAAACCAUGCAAGCUGAACUGAGUGAGGGGGACACAUUUGCCCUCCUAUAGAAGAAACCUGAAUCCAUUUGUGAAAACAAUCUACUACAGGCAGCCUAUUCCUGUAUAUUUCAUGCACAGAAGCCUACCAGCAUGAGGAAACAUGAUUAAAGGGGUAAUAGGUGGACCAGUAUUGUGUGUAUUGUGCCAGUUGCUCUAAGAUACACUGUGGAGCCAUGGACUUCGGUAUCCUAUCUCUGGGUUGUAGUUCCUGGGCAUAGCAGAAUGUGUGACCUGUAACUUUCAGUUCUAGAUUUUAGACAGGCAACUGUAUAAGAAAAGAGAAGAUUACUUUGGGAUUUUCUUGUUGUCUCAUUGUGCUGAGAACACAUUCACUAAAUAAUCAUU